rnacentral:rRNA from 1 species
UACGGAGGGUGCAAGCGUUAAUCGGAGUUACUGGGCGUAAAGGGCGCGUAGGUGGUCAUUUAAGUUAGAUGUGAAAUCCCUGGGCUUAACCUAGGAACUGCGUCUAAUACUGGAUGACUGGAGUACUGUAGAGGGUAGUGGAAUUUCCGGUGUAGCGGUGAAAUGCGUAGAGAUCGGAAGGAACACCAGUGGCGAAGGCGGCUACCUGGACAGAUACUGACACUGAGGCGCGAGAGCGUGGGGAGCAAACAGG